rnacentral:RNase_P_RNA from 1 species
CAAGUGAGUUGGACGAUCGCGGAAUGCCAAGCAUUCGGAGGAAAGUCCGGGCACCACAGAGCAGAAUGCCAGUUAACGACUGGGCGGUGUGAGCCGACGGAAAGUGCAGCAGAGAGUAGACCGCCGAUGGCGCUUAGCGCACAGGUAAGGGUGAAAGGGUGGGGUAAGAGCCCACCGCGCAGCUGGUAACAGUUUGUGGCAUGGUAAACCCCAUUCGGUGCAAGACCAAAUAGGAAAGCAGGUUAAACUUCGGUUUAACACAGCGUGGCUCGCGCUGGUUUUCGGGUAGGUUGCUUGAGGGCGGUAGUGAUGCCUCUCCUAGAUGAAUGAUCGUCACCCCAGGCCUGCUUGGGGUACAGAACCCGGCUUACAGACUCACUUAUUUU